rnacentral:tRNA from 1 species
AAGGGUGUAGCUCAGUGGUAGAGUGCCUGCCUAGCAUGCGCAAGGUCCUGGGUUCAAUCCCCAGUACCUCCA